rnacentral:lncRNA from 1 species
AUUAAAGGAUAAAGAUAAUGUCAUUAACAGACAAACCAUGUCUAAUAUAGUUCAUUAGCUAAUGAUUAGCCUAUUUUUUUGGCAAUUUAAAUUGCAACACCAGCCAGAAUAUAUACGAUUGUAACUUAACUGGGUGAUUAGUGACCGAUGUUAAUUCAGUGAAUUCACAACAUAAAUAUUUUUUAUCUAGAGAAUGAACGUCUGGUCGAAAUCAGUAGAAAAGAAUGUGCUAGUGAUAGAUGCUGUUUUAAGCUAACAUCACUUAUUUAUUCACAUUAAAUGAAUUCAAUCAUGUUAGUCUUGACAAGAAUCUGAGUUUGAAGCAGGUGAGGGGGAAAGUUUGGAUGAGGCUUGUUUUUGUAUUUUCUCUUUUGAACUCCAACUUGCAGGAUGCUAGAGGCUAGCUUUUUGUUGACAGAAUUGUCACCAUCCUUAAGCAAAAAAGGCUGCCAUGUCUAUUCCCCUCCCAACUAUCUGGAUAUUUGCUGGAAUUCCAAUUAAUAUUUUAUGCUAUGACACAGGAUAUACAUUUGCUCAAGGAACUAGCAACUACACUCAAAGCUGGCAAGCCAAUAAAUCUCUCAAAAAUCAUGCCUCGUGUAAACGUUCAGGAAGUUCCACCAAAAUGGGUACGACUAUUCUUUCCAGAAUUCCUCUCGCCCCCAGCCACAGAGAAAGCUUUGAAGAAGAAUGGUUUGAAAGAUUUUUUGUGUGUUUAACAUCUUAAGUCCAAAACAUUUCUCUGCUCAAACAACAAAAACAUUUAUCUUUUUCACUUUUACCACUAUAGGUUUAGUAUACUAGAAAACACUUGUCUCUACUAAAAAAUACAAAAAUUAGCCGGGCAUGGUGGCGGGUGGCUUUAAUCCCAGCUACUCAGGAGGCUGAGGCAGGAGAAUCGCUUGAACCCAGGAGGCGGAGCUUGCAGUGAGCCAAGAUCACACCACUGCACUCCAGCCUGGGUGACAGAGCAAGACUCUGUCUCAAAAAAAAAAAAAA